rnacentral:ribozyme from 1 species
UUAAAUUACUUUGCUGCUACCUUGACGUGGUGGUCGGGCUUGCCUAUCGUGAUGAACCAAUCGAGCUAUACUGGCUGGAACAAUCGUUCCUCAAGGUCCUACCAUGCCAGGCGGUAAGACUAAAAGCAGC